AUGGGAGGCCUUCAUUACAUUUCAGCGGCAGUUGCGGUUGAGGGAGGGUCUCUGACUAGAGCAGCAGGAGCAAGGAGCUCAAGGAGGUUCAGGCUAUUCCUCUUGUUGCAACCUUUUCCCCUAGAAUCAAAAGGAAUUAGAUUGAAGAAAUUGCAGGAGCUUGCUAUUAUUAGAGCGGGAAGGGUAUUCCUGGUGUCACAUUCAAAAGCGGUCAAAACGGUGAGGUUUACGGAGGAGCUCCGUGGAAUUAUCGAUAAAAAAUUAUCCAUAACAUGUCUGUCAUUGCUCAUGUCGACCACGGUAUGUGACCGAGCAGUGACAGUUGUCUCUAAUUAUCAAUUUUAUAUAGAGUCUUCUUGA
rnacentral:rRNA from 1 species